CUAAGAACAGGCAGCAAACUGUUUGGGUGGCUGUUAGAACCAGUAAAGGGUGCCUUAACAUUUUUAGGUGGUGGAAUUACUUUGGCUUUGGUUAACCUAUUGACACAAUGUCAGGUAAAAGAACUUACAAACAAUACAAGAAGAUGGCUUCGUCAGGAGAGGAUGAUGCCAUAACCGAUGUGGUAGUUACCGAGAUCCCUGAGCAAGAGAUACAGGAACCAACUGUGGUUGCUGUAGAUUAUGACAAGGUGGUCAGACUCUCUCCCUAGGACCAAGUCCUGCCUCCUCUGUCGGGAAGUUUAUUUGCAUUGUUUAAUGGCAUCUUUAAAGUUUUGUUUUAAAGUAAGGGACAGAACUUUCACCUUUAGGACAAGAGGGUCAGACUCCCUCCCUAGGACAACCAAGUCCUGCCUCAUCUGUUGGUCAGUGUGUUUGUAUUGUUUAAUGACAUCUUUAAACAAUUGUUCUGUAGAAUACCUUAUAACGUUGUGACGAAUGCCCUUUGUUUGAAUUUUAAAAUCUGUAUCAAGUCCCUCUGACCAUACAACUGAAAAUAUGAAAAUUGAGAUGUUGAAGAUGAAGAAGAUCAAGAUGGUGCCUUUGGCUAACAUUAGCCUGAAUACUUUACUGUAGGACAAGUGGGUCAGACUCUCUCCCUAGGACCAAGUCCUGCCUCCUCUGUCUGUAAGUUUAUUUGCAUUGUUUAAUGGCAUUUAAAAAAAAUUGUGUCAGGGACCGAGAACUUUCACAUACAAUAACAUUGAUAGUAAUUAAGAGGACAAUAAUGAUGAUAGCUACAAGUUUGACUCUAGAGCUGUGUCUCUAAAACUUACUAGCUGUUAAAUCAUUCCUCUGACCUUGGUUCCUCAAACAGGGUUUAAGAAGUCUUUCGUAAGUGUCUUGGUUUUGUUCUCAACAAAUUAGGCAAAUGUGACGACUUGAUUCGGUCUUAUGUAGCAAAAUUUGAAAUUGUGUUUUUUACAUUGGAGACUCAAAAAUAGUAUAUCAUACACUACAGUUGAUUAAAAAUGGGAAAGUAAUUCUGCUUUGAAAGUUAAUAUACUUGUAAGCUCACUUUUAAAAAAUGUCCUUGAAUAUUUGGUACACUUACUGGAGAGCUCCUCUUUGUCUACACCCAUUCAACAUUGUUCACAGGCUCUUAAGCUCAUUAACAGCAGUCAAGCGCCCAAGCUUACUGGCUAACGUUGGCUAGCUACUUCCAAACACAAAUGAGAGAACAGCUCACUCUGACCCGUUUACUCGCCCUUUUUUUCCUUGACGGACACUGAUGACAUUAAGAACAAAGACACCAUCGAAGUUGCUUACCUUGACCCUCCCCCUCCAAGUAUCUACCAUGUUAUCGGAUGGCACCUGCUCCUCUGGGUCCCGUGACACUGUGAUAUGGUCCUCUCCACUAUGCUUCCUCCAAUACUCAGUACGUCAACAGUGUGUCACUACAUCAGAGUACGCAGCUGUAUGCUGGAAACACUUGGUUUGUUAUUAUAACUAAAACAUAACCAAACUUUGAUAAACAUAAAUACAAAACUUAUUUUUGCAUGGAUUCUGUGACGCGGUUAGCUUUUAAGAGCUAGGGCCGCUAUUUCUUGUCGUAGAGUCCCGCUUAACUGACAGGUUAAAGUCUGCUUGAAAGAGCCACUAACCUAGCUAAGCUGCUAGCGUUAGCCGUCAAGCUAACGAAGUUGGUCCCAGAUGAGUAUUCCAAUGGAGCCCUCUUUGUCUAGAGAAGUAAAUGAACAGUUCCCUUUGCUGUAGGAGAUGUAUCUACUACGCUUUGUUUUGGGACAAACUGGAUCACUCAGAGUUCCAAUGCCACAACUGUUUGCUUGACGAAGAUUAUAGGCUUAAGGGGGCUUCCUUGAUCACGCAGGUCGCCUGCCUACGUAAGAAAUCUGUGCCGGUGGCUGGACGGAAUUCGCACAUGCAAUUCCGUUAUUCCGACUGGCCGGUGUUGCCCAGAGUUCGUUCACCAGGGAAGCCAUCUCGUGCCUCUCCUCCCCCAUAUCUGAUAGCGGAGAAGAAGGAGCACAGCCAGAGGAGCAUGGCAAUAAACGAUGGUCGUAUGUCACGAGCCGUGGAACCUGAAGUCAGUGGUCUCCGGCAAAAUUGUCUACACUCCCAACGAAAGGCCCGGAGCAGUUAAUAGUUUCGCUGCCCUGGAGCCUGAUCUUCCUGCACCUUCGUCGCUAGGGAUACCUGUGUCUGCGGCCACUGUGCCUACUCCUACUCUUUCCCCUACGAUUCGAAAUUGACGUCGACAACCUUCUGUUCCUGCUCUGGAACGAGCGGGGCUUCUCCAUCUAUCGGAGGCCUGCAUCAUCCUUGAAGCGUGGGAGUGUGCAGAUUUCCUCGUCCUUCUCACCAGCCGUGAUUUUGGGCAGCUCCAUGGUAAGAAAUGUUACUGUUCCUGGUGCAAAACCAGUGUCCUACCCAUGUGCCUAUGAACCAGAUUUUGCUGUUGUCACUGUAGGAAGUCCACUGUGUGCAGCUCACCCUACACUUACAUAAAUAAACAUGAGAAUUUCUACUUCUGCUAAGCUUCCCAGUAAAACAAUGAAAAUAAGCAAGCAUCCCAGGAAAGUGCUCAAAAUAGCCAACGUUAACAUAUGUAGCUUAAGAAACAAGAUUAAUGAAAUGAAUAACUUGCUAGUAAGAGAUGACGUUCAUAUUCCUGAAACUCACUUAGACCAGUGGUUCCCAAACAUUUUAUAGUCCUGUACCCCUUCAAACAUUCAACAUCCAGCUGCGUAACCCCUCUAGCAGCAGGGUCUGCUCACUUUCAAAUGUUUUUUGUUGUUGCCAUCAUUGUA